AAGAGACCUGUUAUGUGGGACAACGGGUUUCUUACAUUAAUAAGACCUGAUAUUACAAGUAGCAGGUCUCUUAUGUCAAAAUUGAUGGUUAGAAAAAAAUAAAGAGACCAGCUGUUAUCAUCAACUGGUCUCUUUUAUAUUUUAUAUUUUUUAAUUUAAAUAUACCAGAAUCCAGCCACCUUAUUAAGGAUAGAAAAAUCGACCCACAUCUGUCAAAAAAAAAAAAUCAACUCAUUCUCACCAGAGCACCUUUCACCCUCGACUCACUGUCCCCUCCGUCGUCGCCCACACCGCUGCCCACAGACACUUAACACUACCCUCUGGUUCUCCUCUCUACUGCCGGUACGGUUCUCCCGUCACUUGAAGUUGCUUUCCGGCGUAACCUCGAAGAUUAAACUCCGGCGAGUUCCACAUCCACGCGACUUUAAUCUCUGAAAACUUCCCCAUUCAUCGCGACCCUAACCUCCGGCGACUGCUGACUCCACCCUUCCCUUCCUACACUCGGAGCUCCCCUCACCCUAAGUUUCUUCCUUCCUUUGUGUUGCUGCUUCAACUACUCUUACAUUAGGCCACAUGUCAUACUGCAUUGAAUUAAGCAUAGUUUAGAUGCAAUUGUGGAGCUGCAAAGCUGGUGGAAAUACGUUUUGGAGUACGAAAGGCGAAAGAAGCAGCAGUUAUUCAUCAUCAUAUCCAUGGAUUUAUCUGUCGCCAAAUAGCAAAUAGCAAUUAAAGAGAGAUAGGAUACCAUUACUGUUCAAGUAAGAUUAAAUCCUUCACGGGUCAUCUGUUGCUCAACGAAGAAGCUUUUAACUACUUAUAAUAGUUUAACGAGUUUAGUUUAUAUAUUUUGGGGGAAAUUAGAGUAUUUUUAGAUACUUUUGCAUAGUUUCCGAAGGUUACAUUUGAAUUAUUAUUAAUGAAUGUUUGUAAAAGUUUUUAUCAACUUUUGUCCAAUAAUAUAAUUUCAUGAACAUUAUAUGAUUAUGGA